UUUCCUUUUUCUUUUUUUUUUUCUUCCGUUUCGCACCCGAACCCCUCUCCUCCCGAUCCCUUCCUCCUCUCCUCUGCGCGGCGCCAACCGAUCGCCUCCCUCAAACCGAAGGCGCUUCCUCUCCUCCCCUCGCGUACAAAACCGCCGGCGGAAGCUUCGAGUCCUUCCCAUUUCCUCUUCCCCUUCUUCCGUGCCCUAGCCAGCCCCGACGCCACUGCCGCUCUCCCUUCUUCCCUUUGCGGCACUGCCGACCACCGGAUCGAGUCGGUGUCAUCCUUCCUCUUGUGUCGUGCCCUAGUUUUGGUCUCUCGCCGGCGCGUCUCUGCUCGGGUUGGUUUCGGACAGGAGCAAGCAGUGCCGAGCCCUUCUUCUCGCGACACUGCCGAAGCCGUCAUCGCCGUGCCCUAGAUCCAUCGCGUUCUUGUUGCGAUCCGUGCCUAGCAGAGGUCCUUAAGUAGGAAGGGUUGUUCGGUGGGCUUUCUUGGGUUCCAGCAGCAACGAUCCUUGGUUGUGGAUCAAUGGAUGAGGGCUGUAAGGUGAGGUUGAGUGCUGUGGAUCAACAAGCACAGCAUGUGAGAUAGAGAUAUUGUGUCCUGUGGAUUUGAAAUUGUGUGCUGUGGGUUGCUCUUUGAUCCAGCAGCUCACCUUGGUUUUGGCAGGACCUCCUUCCGGCAGUAAUCUUUUUGGUUGAGCUUGAGGACUCUGAUUCAAGACGGACUUCUUGACGUCAGAUUGGUUCGAUUGGAUCUUCUAUUUAAGGCGG